AUUGAACGCUGGCGGCAGGCCUAACACAUGCAAGUCGAGCGGAUGAAGGGAGCUUGCUCCUGGAUUCCGCGGCGGACGGGUGAGUAAUGCCUAGGAAUCUGCCUGGCAGUGGGGGAUAACGUCCGGAAACGGGCGCUAAUACCGCAUACGUCCUGAGGGAGAAAGUGGGGGAUCUUCGGACCUCACGCUAUCAGAUGAGCCUAGGUCGGAUUAGCUAGUUGGUGGGGUAAAGGCCUACCAAGGCGACGAUCCGUAACUGGUCUGAGAGGAUGAUCAGUCACACUGGAACUGAGACACGGUCCAGACUCCUACGGGAGGCAGCAGUGGGGAAUAUUGGACAAUGGGCGAAAGCCUGAUCCAGCCAUGCCGCGUGUGUGAAGAAGGUCUUCGGAUUGUAAAGCACUUUUAGUUGGGAGGAAGGGCAGUAAGUUAAUACCUUGCUGUUUUGACGGUACCAACAGAAUAAGCACCGGCUAACUUCGUG
rnacentral:rRNA from 1 species